rnacentral:lncRNA from 10 species
CGAGAAUAAAAUAAAAGACUUGAAAUCAGUGGCGCCCAGGCCGGUGCGGGGGGUGGUGGAGACACCAAGCGGGGAGCGCCGAAGGGCUCUCCCGGCAAAACUGAUGGAGUCAACCUGAGGCUUCCGGGCUUGCCAGGUGAAGGGCUGUGCUGCAUCGCACGCGCUUAGCGAAGCAGGGCUAUCCAUGGCUAAAAGAGAAAAAGAAAUCAAAAGUAUUCGAUUAAAAAAAAAAAUAGAGGCCGGGUGUUCUUUCUGGAUUCUCAGAGAUAGGUAGCAAGUGGCUGCCCCACAGCACCCAAAUCCUGGAAGAUAAGCAAGCUAUGUUGUCAUCUGCCCAGAACCCCUGCUCUCUAGGUCCCACUGCUCCCACCAGUUAGGUAGUGGGAGUGCUGGGGAGUUGGAGAAAACCUCAUUGGACGCACUUGCAGGCGUGAGCUACUGCACCCGGCGUAACCUAAAUCUUUUUGUGUUUGCUCUCCACAUUCAUAUUCAGAAAUUUCUCUUAAAAACAAAAUGUAGUUCUUGCCAAAGCAGCAAAGAUCUUCUGAGAGGUCACUGGCUGACUUAGAAUUCAAAUCUUUAUCUUUGCCUUGACCCUGGAAUGUGAAGAGGAAAGCUAAUGGUAAGAGCAUAAAUGCAAGUGGAUUUCAAGCAGCAGCAGCCACUAACGCUGGCAGGGUAUACAGUAGUACCCUCAUUUUACACAGCAGAAAAGGGGAUGCUGAGGGCUGGAAGCCAGCUGCUGAAGGACAUAGUCAAGGCCCUAGAGUGGGCAACUGCAUGCCAGCAGAGAACAUCUGGAUCAAAAACACGAUACGAGAUUAUUAGUAAGGGAUUUUGGAAAGAUAUUUUCUCAACGUGCACGAACAACUGCUAGGUAAUCUCUAGCCACGUACCGCUUCUUUCCACUUCAUAAACUCACUUUCGGUGAAUUCUUGGUUUGAGACAAACUCUAAACGGAACACGCGUUGGUCAUUGCCAUGCCUACAUAAAAGAGAGACAGCAUCUCCAAGAAAUGUGCAUGUUGACUGUAGUACAAGCAAAGCAACCUUACCAGACUAUGUACCACCUAUAUAUACCUAUUGCAGUGGUUCUCAAUCCUAGCUACCCUAUAAAAUCAUCCCAGGCUGUUUUAAUGAGCUGCCAAGAUUGAGAUCCCAAAGCUAGCACUGGAAACCAAAU